rnacentral:rRNA from 1 species
CACGUAGGGCGCAAGCGUUGUCCGGAAUUAUUGGGCGUAAAGAGCUCGUAGGCGGUCCGUCACGUCCGCUGUGAAAACCCAGGGCUCAACCCUGGGCUUGCAGUGGAUACGGGCAGACUAGAGGUAGGUAGGGGAGAAUGGAAUUCCCGGUGUAGCGGUGAAAUGCGCAGAUAUCGGGAGGAACACCGGUGGCGAAGGCGGGUCUCUGGGCCGAUACUGACGCUGAGGAGCGAAAGCGUGGGGAGCGAACAGG